AACGUAGGAGACAAGCGUUAUCCGGAGUUACUGGGCGUAAAGGGCGUGCAGGCGGCUUACUCAGUCUGGUGUGAAAGCGCUCGGCUAAACCGGGCGAGGCCACUGGAUACUGGUAGGCUGGAGGACGGUAGAGGCGAGUGGAAUUCCGGGUGUAGUGGUGAAAUGCGUAGAGAUCCGGAGGAACACCAGUGGCGAAGGCGACUCGCUGGGCCGUACCUGACGCUGAGACGCGACAGCAUGGGGAGCGAACGGG
rnacentral:rRNA from 1 species